GGGGAAUAUUGGACAAUGGGCGAAAGCCUGAUCCAGCCAUGCCGCGUGUGUGAAGAAGGUCUUCGGAUUGUAAAGCACUUUAAGUUGGGAGGAAGGGCAGUAAAUUAAUACUUUGCUGUUUUGACGUUACCGACAGAAUAAGCACCGGCUAACUCUGUGCCAGCAGCCGCGGUAAUACAGAGGGUGCAAGCGUUAAUCGGAAUUACUGGGCGUAAAGCGCGCGUAGGUGGUUCGUUAAGUUGGAUGUGAAAUCCCCGGGCUCAACCUGGGAACUGCAUUCAAAACUGACGAGCUAGAGUAUGGUAGAGGGUGGUGGAAUUUCCUGUGUAGCGGUGAAAUGCGUAGAUAUAGGAAGGAACACCAGUGGCGAAGGCGACCACCUGGACUGAUACUGACACUGAGGUGCGAAAGCGUGGGGAGCAAACAGGAUUAGNU
rnacentral:rRNA from 1 species